GAGAGAAGUCGAAGAGGAAGAGGCGAAGUGAGCGAGAGACAGAGAAGUCGGAGUGGAAGAGGCAAAGUGAACGAGGGACAGAGAGAAGUCGAAGAGGAAGAGGCAAAGUGAGUGAGGGACAGAGAGAAGUCGAAGAGGAAGAGGCGAAGUGAGUGAGGGACAGAGAGAAGUCGAAGAGGAAGAGGCGAAGUGAGCGAGAGACAGAGAAGUCGGAGUGGAAGAGGCAAAGUGAGCGAGGGACAGAGAGAGAAGUUGGAGUGGAAGAGGCGAAGUGAGCAAGGGACAGAGAGAAGUCGAAGAGGAAGAGGCGAAGUGAGCGAGAGACAGAGAAGUUGGAGUGGAAGAGGCAAAGUGAGCGAGGGACAGAGAGAGAAGUCGGAGUGGAAGAGGCGAAGUGAGUGAGGGACAGAGAGAAGUCGAAGAGGAAGAGGCAAAGUGAGCGAGGGACAGAGAGAGAGAAACAGAGGGAGUUUUCCCCAGUCUGAGCAAAGUAUCCCUGUACAUCUUUAGCAUGUUGGGCUCCACAUACAGCUGUGAGCCAGCUUUCUCCACAAUGAACAUAAUAAA